rnacentral:rRNA from 1 species
UACGUAGGCAGCAAGCGUUGUUCGGAAUUACUGAGCGUAAAGAGUGUGUAGGCGGUGUUCUAAGUCUGUUGUGAAAUCUCCCGGCUUAACUGGGAGGGUGCGGCGGAAACUAGAAUGCUAGAGGAUGGGAGAGGUAAGCGGAAUUCCUGGUGUAGCGGUGAAAUGCGUAGAUAUCAGGAGGAACACCUGUGGUGUAGACAGCUUACUGGACCAUUUCUGACGCUGAGACACGAAAGCGUGGGUAGCAAACAGG